AAAGGGCUGUAAUAAGAAUAGCUGAGAUUUGCUGGAGCCAAAGCUUACAGAAGGAAGAAUCUGCAGGUUUAAAAAGAAACUGAUCAUGAAGUACUAAAAUAGGUACCAAAUAAAGUACCUUCCACUGAUUUAUCUGCAGCCUUGCCAAGGAGUUAACACUGCGAGUGCGCUUCCUGACGCUGACAUCUGUUGGUUUAAUAUAGGCAUAUAGGAUGGAUGGAGCAUAGCCUAGGACAUAUGAAACAGUUCAGGUAAACAGUGAAAGUCAGAAGAAGGUAAAGGCAGCUGUUCCACUGGGCGUGAAUCUCCAAGCACAUAAGUCGGCUGUGCUAUUUUGCAGACUGUGUGAAGGCUUCACUGCAGCACAGCUAGCCGGGACUGCUGUGCAGAAAGUCUUUUUACAACACCUUUUAUAUUACCGGAGUAGGUCUAUUAAAGUAACAUGCUUACUUUUUAGCAGGUGACGUUUGGAAUAAAAGUACAUGAUAGGUGAUAGAGCCAGGGGUCGAGGUUAAAGUCACCACUGCAGAUGCUUAAACCAAUUAUUUUAAUAAACUGAUUAUCAGUUGUUAAAAAAUAUGCAAGAAUCUCCAGAGCCUGGUUUUUCUUCAUAUUUGACAAUUGGUUUUAAUGUAUGUGUUAGAAAACUACUGUACUGGUUAUAGAUACUUAGAUUAAUAGAUUUAAACCUUUCAGAUUAAACAUCAAGUGGGUACUCUCACAGUAUUGCAAAUAUAAAUAUUCAACGUAUGUUUUGAUCAUCUAGGCUGGAAUUAUCUUCAGAAGAAACAGAACACGAAGGAUAUUCAUAAGGAUAAAUUCCUAAAAUUGCAAUAUAUAUGUAUAUAUGUAUAUGUGUUUGUGUGUAUAUAUACAUAUAUAAACAAAGUAUGUAUAUAUAUUCAUUGCUGUUGUUAAGCUACCAGUUUAACAGUUCUCUAAAUUUCUUAUUUCUUUUUUCUUCUAGUUAGUGUGAGAUCGUCCAUAGCUCACACUAUCUGUGUAUAAUGAAAUAUGAAGACAUUUCUUACUGCACUGUUAACUGGGGUCAUUUUUUUAAAGAAAUUGAGGGACAACAUAUGCUUGUCUAAGCAUGUUAUGCAAAUUAUUGGCAUAAAAGGAUUUUUAACAUGUAGGUAGUGUAAAACAUGUCAUAGUGACAAUUCUUACAUUCGGUAUUCAUUUAUCCCGACAAUUACCAUGGUUAUAACGCCUUUCUACAUGUAGCCAUUUUAUAUGCAUGUUGAAAAGCAAGGCAUGCACAUGUACCUGCAAGAUAUUGGAAUUAUAUCCUCAACACUUUAUCUUCAAGUUGGGGCUUGGACUCUGUAAUUUUCCUCUGUUUAUAAAAUCGCAUACAUGAGAUACCCCAGCAAGGUGAGUUUGUCUAUUCAGAAUGUUUGAAGCGGAAAUAUGUUAACACAGAAGGAAUUUUCCCUCUGCUGAUUUUAGACUCAGUCACAUGGUCAGAGGCUGGAAUUUAUACCAGACGGUCUCAGAAAUCUUCUAGUAGCCAUAUUAUUGCUUUCUUCAAAAGACAACUGCACAUUGCCUAUUUUCUAGCUACCUUUGCAACACUGUUCUGCUCCCAACACACAAUCCCCAUUUUUAAAAUGUACGUUACUAACAAGUUUUCUGUUAUAAAGCAGAACAGUAUGAACACCAUCUAUGCAAUCUGCUAUUCUGUGUUGUCAGAUAUGACUUUUAAAGGAAAACUCUACAGCAAUCAAUCACGUGACACAGUAAGGUCUCUCUCUUUUUUCUAAGAAAAGAAUACCAUAUUUCAUCUAUGAAGGAGGCAGUAUAAAAUGCUACCAGCAUAUCAGUAUGAUUUUUUAGUCAUUUGCAAAUGCACAAUUUUCCACAUUUGCUGAAAUAAAGUCUCAGAAUAAAUGCUUGUCAGUUGGAACAAUUGUGUGGGGAUGGGACAGAUGGGCAGCUGUUUCUGUUUUAAUCCCAGAUUUUGUUCUUUUACUUUAAAUAAUGUUGAAAGUGUUUUUUUAAUUGUGAAAAAAUAAACAUAGGCCAUUUUUAAAAAAGAAAAUAAAGUGGUAGUUACUGAACUAUAAUGAAAGAAAGAUAGUUCUUAUAAUGUGGAUUAAAAAUCUCUAGCUCUCUUAACUGAAAACAAUG